AAUCCAUAGGUUAAUGAGGCGAACCGGGGGAACUGAAACAUCUAAGUACCCCGAGGAAAAGAAAUCAACCGAGAUUCCCCCAGUAGCGGCGAGCGAACGGGGAGGAGCCCAGAGCCUGAAUCAGCAUGUGUGUUAGUGGAAGCGUCUGGAAAGGCGCGCGAUACAGGGUGACAGCCCCGUACACAAAAGCGCAUGUGCUGUGAGCUCGAUGAGUAGGGCGGGACACGUGGUAUCCUGUCUGAAUAUGGGGGGACCAUCCUCCAAGGCUAAAUACUCCUGACUGACCGAUAGUGAACCAGUACCGUGAGGGAAAGGCGAAAAGAACCCCGGCGAGGGGAGUGAAAAAGAACCUGAAACCGUGUACGUACAAGCAGUGGGAGCACCCUUUGGGGUGUGACUGCGUACCUUUUGUAUAAUGGGUCAGCGACUUAUAUUC
rnacentral:rRNA from 1 species